UCCAAAGGGAAGGACGGGAGCAUAGUGAGACUAAAAUGCUUGUCAUGCCCACAUGAAGGCCUGAGUUCAGUCCCCAGCACUCACAAAUCAGGUCAGACAAGGUGGGAAUCCUAGCUCUGGGGAGGCAGAAGCAGGAUUGCUGGCGAGGGUUGCUCCGCGAGGCUAGCCAAGUUGGAAGAUCCAAGGCCUGGAGGGUCCACAGCCACCUUGUGAUGAUGGGAACAGAAGUCAUGUGUUGUAGAUGCUACAGCAGGACCGUGGAAGUCUGGACCCUUGACCGUGUCCUCCAGCAGUACCUAAGCUGUGAUCUGUCUGCCUCUGGAGUUCCGGAUCUAUAUGAACAAUAAAUCCUAACAUGUAUAGA